rnacentral:misc_RNA from 1 species
AAUACACUGGCUUGUACCCAUCACAAUAAGAGAUUCUAAUAGCACAACUGCAAAACAAAUCAGACCCAACAACUAAUUUGUUUACCUCUUGAACCAAUCAUCGAUAUGAGUUUAUCAGAUUGAUUAAAAAAUUGCAACCCGCAAUUCCAAAACUACAAUAAAAACCCUUCUUGAACCAAUACUCAAUUGGGUAAAGGUCUACACUUAUUCUUCUCCUCCAAUGGUUUACGGGAACGAAAAAGGUGAAGACAAACCUGAAAGGCCCUCUCGUUGAAGA